AGAGCGCAAACCGUUCGUGUCUCUAUUUGAGUAGGUUAAAAAAAACCUUUAUAUUUUCAUUGUAAAAUUAAAACAUUUCUUAA
rnacentral:tRNA from 1 species